rnacentral:snRNA from 1 species
AGCUUUGCGCAGUGGCAGUAUCGUAGCCAAUGAGGUUUAUCCGAGGCGCGAUUAUUGCUAAUUAAAUAGAAUGGUCACACAUACACUGUGGCUCCAGAACCCAGCACUGGGACAUGGGACAGCACGUGAAGCUCUCAGAGUCUCACAGAGG